rnacentral:rRNA from 1 species
UACGUAGGGCGCAAGCGUUGUCCGGAAUUAUUGGGCGUAAAGAGCUCGUAGGUGGUUCGGUAAGUCGGAUGUGAAAUCUCCAGGCUCAACCUGGAGGGGUCAUUCGAUACUGCCGUGACUAGAGGUCGGUAGGGGAGUGUGGAAUUCCUGGUGGAGCGGUGAAAUGCGCAGAUAUCAGGAGGAACACCCGUAGCGAAGGCGGCACUCUGGGCCGAUACUGACGCUGAGGAGCGAAAGCGUGGGGAGCAAACAGG